UUUUUAGUGUAAGUAUGUCCCAUGCAAUAUUUGGGACAUACUUCUACUAAAA
rfam:Nomascus leucogenys chromosome 18, whole genome shotgun sequence.